UACGUAGGGUGCAAGCGUUGUCCGGAUUUACUGGGCGUAAAGAGCGCGUAGGCGGUCUGUUAAGUGUAGAGUGAAAUCUCUGGGCUCACCCGGAAACUGCUCUGCAUACUGGCAGACUUGAGGGAAGCAGAGGUUUGUGGAAUUCCUGGUGUAGCGGUGAAAUGCGUUGAUAUCAGGAGGAACACCCAUGGCGAAGGCAGCAAACUGGGCUUCAUCUGACGCUGAUGCGCGAAAGCGUGGGUAGCAAACAGG
rnacentral:rRNA from 1 species